AAAUUGGCGAAGAAAAGGACUAGUACAGAUAGGACGAUGUACAGAGAAGGGGCCGGCGGUGAGAGGUCCCCCAUACAAAUAUCUGGAACCUGCCUUGGAGCCGCGUAUGAAAAUACGACGUAAGCCGCGUUAAGGCAGAUGAGAGAAUGGCAGAAAUGUGAUUAAUCAGGGUGGUACCGCCGGAUAUCCGGUCCCUUUG
rnacentral:ncRNA from 1 species